GACGAACGCUGGCGGCGUGCUUAACACAUGCAAGUCGAACGGAAAGGCCCUGCUUUUGUGGGGUGCUCGAGUGGCGAACUGGUGAGUAACACUUGAGUAACCUGCCCUUGACUUUGGGAUAACUUCAUGAAACUUGGGCUAAUACCGGAUAGGAGCUCCUGCUUCAUGGUGGGGGUUGGAAAGUUUCGGCGGUUGGGGAUGGACUCGCGGCUUAUCAGCUUGUUGGUGGGGUAGUGGCUUACCAAGGCUUUGACGGGUAGCCGGCCUGAGAGGGUGACCGGACACAUUGGGACUGAGAUAAGGCCCAGACUACUAUGGGAGGCAGCAGUGGGGAAUAGUGCACAAUGGGAGGAAGCCUGAUGCAGCAACGCCGCGUGCGGGAUGACGGCCUUCGGGUUGUAAACCGAUUUCGCCUGUGACGAAGCGUGAGUGACGGUAAUGGGUAAAGAAGCACCGGCUAACUACGUG
rnacentral:rRNA from 1 species